CUCUUCUAAUGGUGUUUCGUAUUUUAUUUUUUCCUUUUUCCUGAUUUUGUUAUCUGAUCCCGGUAUGUUGUUGUUUUGUAGGUAUCCCUAAACGUUGAUCGGUAUUGUAAAUGCUUAAUGUCAUUUGAAUGAUAAGAUGGAUGGCGACUUUAAAGUCAUAAGAAAAAUCUUUUGAUGCACCACUGUAAGCGCAGUACUUGAUCGUGAUGAAAUCAUUUUUUAAAAUGUUGCAACCGCAAUUUUUGGUCGGGAUGGAAUCGUUUUUAUUUUCCAGCUUCGAUUAAAAAAGAAGAUGACUGGCAAAGAUAAGGAUUUCAAUUUUCAGAUAUAUGGCAACUUCUGAUUUGUUGAAUGAGUUGUCUAAAGACGGAUAUAAAACGGAUCAUGAUCUAGAGUUGAAGAUUUCGAUGACCGUUCAAUAGAGAAAUAAAAGGAAAUCCCUCAAAAAGUUUGCAUCCUUCCAUAGUUUUGUUAGCAUUUUUGUUCAAUUUUCACUUAGUCAUAGAAUAAUACAA